GAUGAACGCUAGCGGCAGGCUUAACACAUGCAAGUCGAGGGGCAGCGCGAUGUAGCAAUACAUUGGCGGCGACCGGCGCACGGGUGCGUAACACGUAUGGAACUUGCCCUGUACUGGGAGAUAGCCCGGAGAAAUCCGGAUUAAUAUCCCAUAAUAUCCCGAGUGGCAUCACUUGGGUGUAAAAGCUCCGGCGGUACAGGAUAGCCAUGCGUCCGAUUAGCUAGUUGGUGAGGUAACGGCUCACCAAGGCUACGAUCGGUAGGGGGCCUGAGAGGGUUAUCCCCCACACUGGUACUGAGACACGGACCAGACUCCUACGGGAGGCAGCAGUGAGGAAUAUUGCGCAAUGGAGGCAACUCUG
rnacentral:rRNA from 1 species